GAUGAACGCUGGCGGCGUGCCUAAUACAUGCAAGUCGAGCGAACAGACGAGGAGCUUGCUCCUCUGACGUUAGCGGCGGACGGGUGAGUAACACGUGGAUAACCUACCUAUAAGACUGGGAUAACUUCGGGAAACCGGAGCUAAUACCGGAUAAUAUAUUGAACCGCAUGGUUCAAUAGUGAAAGGCGGUUUUGCUGUCACUUAUAGAUGGAUCCGCGCCGCAUUAGCUAGUUGGUAAGGUAACGGCUUACCAAGGCAACGAUGCGUAGCCGACCUGAGAGGGUGGUCGGCCACACUGGAACUGAGACACGGUCCAGACUCCUACGGGAGGCAGCAGUAGGGAAUCUUCCGCAAUGGGCGAAAGCCUGACGGAGCAACGCCGCGUGAGUGAUGAAGGUCUUCGGAUCGUAAAACUCUGUUAUUAGGGAAGAACAAAUGUGUAAGUAACUAUGCACGUCUUGACGGUACCUAAUCAGAAAGCCACGGCUAACUACGUG
rnacentral:rRNA from 1 species